UUUAGGGAGACCUACACCCCUUACAUAUCGAAAAACACACAGUUAAAUAGAUAGUAAGUUGGUCUAACCUAGGUCGGUCGCAGACAUUUGCAAAUGUUGAAAGCUUUCAAACUAUGAUUUGGUUCGAAAUGGGCUAUUAGCUCAGGUGGUUAGGGCGCACCCCUGAUAAGGGUGAGGCCCCUGGUUCGAGUCCAGGAUGGCCCACCUGAAUCAAUUAAAAAUGUAGAAUUAUAAAUUAAAAAUUAAAAACUUAAUUUAUAAUUAUCAAUUUUUAAUUGUAUCUGGGGGUUUAGCUCAGUUGGCAGAGCGCCUGCUUUGCAAGCAGGAUGUCAGCGGUUCGAGUCCGCUAACCUCCACCUGUGGCGAUUGCCAUUGAUAAAAUAGAUUGAGAGUCCAGCAACAUGACUUAACUGAAGUCAGACUGCUGAGUUGAAUCUCAGCCAGAACCUUGAAAAUUGCAUAGUAACGCGAAAAUAGCAGGCAGACACAGAUAAUCUUUACAGAUGUUUUUGUGAAUGCAAAAGUUAAAAGACCAAAUAUUUGAGU
rnacentral:tRNA from 1 species